rnacentral:rRNA from 1 species
CACGUAGGGUGCGAGCGUUGUCCGGAAUUAUUGGGCGUAAAGAGCUCGUAGGCGGUGUGUCGCGUCGGCCGUGAAAACCUGCAGCUUAACUGUGGGCGUGCGGUCGAUACGGGCAUCACUGGAGUUCGGCAGGGGAGACUGGAAUUCCUGGUGUAGCGGUGAAAUGCGCAGAUAUCAGGAGGAACACCGGUGGCGAAGGCGGUUCUCUGGGCAUGUCCUGACGCUGAGGAGCGAAAGUGUGGGGAGCGAACAGG